UUAGUUGGUGGGGUAAAGGCCUACCAAGACGACGAUCGGUAGCUGGUCUGAGAGGACGAUCAGCCACACUGGGAUUGAGAACGGCCCAGACUCCUACGGGGGGCAGCAGUGAGGAAUUUUCGUCAAUGGGGGAAACCCUGAACGAGCAACGCCGCGUGCAGGAAGAAGGUUUUCGGAUCGUAAACUGCUUUUCUGUGGGAAGAGAACGGACGGUACUACAGGAAGAAGCCCCGGCUAACUACGUGCCAGCAGCCGCGGUAAUACGUAGGGGGCGAGCGUUGUCCGGAGUUACUGGGCGUAAAGGGCGUGCAGGCGGUGCAGUAAGUUUAGAGUGACAGUAUCCGGCUUAACUGGAUAAGGCCUCUGAAAACUGCUGGACUUGAGGGCCAGAGAGGGACAUAGAAUUCCGGGUGGAGUGGUGAAAUGCGUAGAUAUCCGGAGGAAUACCAAAGGCGAAGGCAGUGUCCUGGCUGGCAACUGACGCUGAGGCGCGAAAGCUAGGGGAGCGAACAGGAUUAGAUACCCUGGUAGUCCUAGCCGUAAACGAUGACCACUAGAUGUGCGGGGUAUCGACCCCCUGCGUGUCGGAGUAAACAUUUUAAGUGGUCCGCCUGGGGAGUACGGUCGCAAGAUUAAAACUCAAAGGAAUUGACG
rnacentral:rRNA from 1 species